rnacentral:tRNA from 2 species
GGCAGCUUGCCCGAGCGGCCAAUGGGAGCGGUCUGUAAAACCGUCGGCUUACGCCUACGAUGGUUCGAAUCCAUCAGCUGCCACCA